UACGUAGGGUGCAAGCGUUGUCCGGAAUUAUUGGGCGUAAAGAGCUCGUAGGCGGUUCGGUAAGUCAGCUGUGAAAUCUCCACGCUCAACGUGGAGGGGUCAGCUGAUACUGCCGUGACUUGAGUCUGGUAGGGGAGUGCGGAAUUCCCGGUGUAGCGGUGAAAUGCGCAGAUAUCGGGAGGAACACCAGUGGCGAAGGCGGCACUCUGGGCCAGUACUGACGCUGAGGAGCGAAAGCGUGGGGAGCGAACGAGG
rnacentral:rRNA from 1 species